CUCAGACACUACAUUUGUUCCCACUGAAAGGACUUUUCAUCUGCUCUCUGGGCAAAAGGUAACUGAAAAUGUCAGACACUGAAGAUGUCAUUGAAGAAUAUGAAGAGGAACAGGAAGAAGACUGUAUUGAAGAAG